GACGAACGCUGGCGGCGUGCUUAACACAUGCAAGUCGAACGGAAAGGCCCUGCUUUUGUGGGGUGCUCGAGUGGCGAACGGGUGAGUAACACGUGAGUAACCUGCCCUUGACUUUGGGAUAACUUCAGGAAACUGGGGCUAAUAUCGGAUAGGAGCUCCUGCUGCAUGGUGGGGGUUGGAAAGUUUCGGCGGUUGGGGAUGGACUCGCGGCUUAUCAGCUUGUUGGUGGGGUAGUGGCUUACCAAGGCUUUGACGGGUAGCCGGCCUGAGAGGGUGACCGGCCACAUUGGGACUAAGAGACGCCGCAGACUCCUACGGGAGGCAGCAGUGGGAAAUAUUGCACAAUAGGCGGAAGCCUGAUGCAGCAACGCCGCGUGCGGGAUGACGGCCUUCGGGUUAUGAACCGCUUUCGCCUGUGACGAAGCGUGAGUGACGGUAAUGGGUAAAGAAGCACCGGCUAACUACGUG
rnacentral:rRNA from 1 species